GAGCCUCUUUUGUGCUUGUAACAGGGUGUUUUGCAGGCAUUUAAAGGAGAGCUGAUUCACAUCUACAACAAACGGGAAGGAGCUCUGCUCAAUACCGAACACUUCAAGGAUCUCCAGAGCCGCUGUAAUGUCCUCCUGCUCGGAGACUCUCUUGGGGAUCUCAACAUGGCUGAUGGAGUCAUGGACUUACAAAACAUCCUGAAGAUCGGAUACCUCAAUGAUAAGGUGGAUGAGAGGAGACAGUCGUACUUAAACUCCUAUGAUAUAAUUUUGGAGAAAGAUGAAACCAUGGAUGUUCCUAAUGAGAUCUUACGAUACAUUACAGGACAAUGAACUUAGACCUAAGAUCUCCAAGAUAAGGAUGGACACAG